rnacentral:rRNA from 1 species
GACGAACGCUGGCGGCGGGCUUAACACAUGCAAGUCGAACGGAAAGGCCCGGCUUUGGUGGGGUGCUCGAGGGGCGAACGGGGGAGUAACACGUGAGUAACCUGCCCUUGACGGUGGGAUAACUUCAUGAAACUUGGGCUAAUACCGGAUAGGAGCUCCUGCUUUUUGGUGGGCGCUGGAAAGUUUCGGCGGUUGGGGAAGGUCUCGGCGCUUAUCGGCUUGUUGGUGGGGUAGUGGCUUACCAAGGCUUUGACGGGUAGCCGGCCUGAGAGGGUGACCGGCCACAUUGGGACUGAGCUACGGCCCAGACUCCUACGGGAGGCAGCAGUGGGGAGUAUUGCACAAUGGGCGGAAGCAUGAUGCAGCAACGCCGCGUGCGGGAUGACGGCCUUCGGGUUGUAAACCGCUUUCGCCUGUGACGAAGCGUGAGUGACGGUAAUGGGUAAAGAAGCACCGGCUAACUACGUG